rnacentral:rRNA from 1 species
AGAGUUUGAUCAUGGCUCAGGAUAAACGCUGGCGGCGUGCAUAAAACAUGCAAGUCGGACGAGCACCCGCAAGGGUGCUAGUGGCGGACGGCUGAGUAACACGUAAGUGACCUACCCCCCAGUGGGGAAUAACUGCUCGAAAGAGUGGCUAAUACCGCAUGCGCUCACGGUUUCGGUACGGUGAGGAAAGCAGCGAUGCGCUAGGGGAUGGGCUUGCGGCCGAUUAGCUAGUUGGUGGGGUAAGGGCCUACCAAGGCGAUGAUCGGUAGCUGGUCUGAGAGGAUGAUCAGCCAGACUGGGACUGCGACACGGCCCAGACUCCUACGGGAGGCAGCAGUUAGGAAUUUUGCGCAAUGGACGAAAGUCUGACGCAGCAACGCCGCGUGAGGGAUGACGGCCUUCGGGUUGUAAACCUCUUUCAGCAGGGACGAAGCGAGAGUGACGGUACCUGCAGAAGAAGGACCGGCCAACUACGUGCCAGCCGCCGCGGUAAUAC